rnacentral:rRNA from 1 species
AGAGUUUGAUCCUGGCUCAGAUUGAACGCUGGCGGCAUGCCUUACACAUGCAAGUCGAACGGCAGCACGGAGCUUGCUCUGGUGGCGAGUGGCGAACGGGUGAGUAAUAUAUCGGAACGUACCCUAGAGUGGGGGAUAACGUAGCGAAAGUUACGCUAAUACCGCAUACGAUCUAAGGAUGAAAGUGGGGGAUCGCAAGACCUCAUGCUCGUGGAGCGGCCGAUAUCUGAUUAGCUAGUUGGUAGGGUAAAAGCCUACCAAGGCAUCGAUCAGUAGCUGGUCUGAGAGGACGACCAGCCACACUGGAACUGAGACACGGUCCAGACUCCUACGGGAGGCAGCAGUGGGGAAUUUUGGACAAUGGGCGAAAGCCUGAUCCAGCAAUGCCGCGUGAGUGAAGAAGGCCUUCGGGUUGUAAAGCUCUUUUGUCAGGGAAGAAACGGUGAGGGCUAAUAUCUCUUGCUAAUGACGGUACCUGAAGAAUAAGCACCGGCUAACUACGUGCCAGCAGCCGCGGUAAUACGUAGGGUGCAAGCGUUAAUCGGAAUUACUGGGCGUAAAGCGUGCGCAGGCGGUUUUGUAAGUCUGAUGUGAAAUCCCCGGGCUCAACCUGGGAAUUGCAUUGGAGACUGCAAGGCUAGAAUCUGGCAGAGGGGGGUAGAAUUCCACGUGUAGCAGUGAAAUGCGUAGAUAUGUGGAGGAACACCGAUGGCGAAGGCAGCCCCCUGGGUCAAGAUUGACGCUCAUGCACGAAAGCGUGGGGAGCAAACAGGAUUAGAUACCCUGGUAGUCCACGCCCUAAACGAUGUCUACUAGUUGUCGGGUCUUAAUUGACUUGGUAACGCAGCUAACGCGUGAAGUAGACCGCCUGGGGAGUACGGUCGCAAGAUUAAAACUCAAAGGAAUUGACGGGGACCCGCACAAGCGGUGGAUGAUGUGGAUUAAUUCGAUGCAACGCG